CAAGAACUGAAAGAAACACUAUGUACACCUCACCCUCAAGAUGGGGAUGAAGACCCACUUCUUUGGGCAGAGAAGGACCUUUCGCUCUCCAGACGGAGAAGGGAAGGCCUCAGGCAGCAAACUCUCUCAAGAAGAACUUAAAAGAAAAAGAAUCAGAGAAAGCUUCUCUCUCUAGAAAUUAGAGAGAGAAGCCAAAAGUUG
rnacentral:misc_RNA from 1 species